CCGUGGGGUCUGACCUGGCUGGGUGUAGUGUCCCGGCCCGGCAGGAGGGGCGGCCUGGUCCGGGUUGCGCCUCCUGGAGCCGCCCCCGGGACGUCAGUCCUGGAGGAGGCGAGGGUUGCUCCGGUUGCUAAGAAGACUAUGAACAAGUCAGAGGACCUGCUGUUUGCUGGUUCCUCAUUAGCAUCACAAGUCCAUGCUGCUGCCGUUAAUGGAGAUAAGGGUGCUCUACAGAAGCUCAUCGUAGGAAACUCUGCUCUUAAAGACAAAGAAGAUCAAUUUGGGAGAACACCACUUAUGUAUUGCGUGUUGGCUGACAGAUUGGAUUGUGCAGAUGCUCUUCUGAAGGCAGGAGCAGAUGUGAAUAAAACUGACCAUAGCCAGAGAACAGCCCUCCAUCUUGCAGCCCAGAAGGGGCUGAAGUUGUUGCUUUCCUUCUUUGGCCACAGAGUUAAUGUGUCCCAUUCCAGUAGAUAUAACUUCGCCUUUUCUCCAGUCAUCCCCUACUUGUGCCCAUAGCUUAUAGAAGGGAGGCUACAAGGAUGAAAUGAACCCUUUCUGAAGGUGGCCACAGUUAGUAAGCAAACUGCUUCAUACAGGAGUGUGGACCAGGAGGAGGGAAAUUAUCGUUUCAUGAAACUCUUACUUACACGCAGAGCAAACUGGAUGCAAAAGGAUCUGGAAGAGAUGACUCCUUUGCACUUGACCACCCGGCACAGGAGCCCUAAGUGUUUGGCACUUCUGCUGAAGUUUAUGGCACCAGGAGAAGU
rnacentral:sRNA from 1 species